rnacentral:rRNA from 2 species
GACGAACGCUGGCGGCGUGCCUAAUACAUGCAAGUCGAACGAACUCUGGUAUUGAUUGGUGCUUGCAUCAUGAUUUACAUUUGAGUGAGUGGCGAACUGGUGAGUAACACGUGGGAAACCUGCCCAGAAGCGGGGGAUAACACCUGGAAACAGAUGCUAAUACCGCAUAACAACUUGGACCGCAUGGUCCGAGCUUGAAAGAUGGCUUCGGCUAUCACUUUUGGAUGGUCCCGCGGCGUAUUAGCUAGAUGGUGGGGUAACGGCUCACCAUGGCAAUGAUACGUAGCCGACCUGAGAGGGUAAUCGGCCACAUUGGGACUGAGACACGGCCCAAACUCCUACGGGAGGCAGCAGUAGGGAAUCUUCCACAAUGGACGAAAGUCUGAUGGAGCAACGCCGCGUGAGUGAAGAAGGGUUUCGGCUCGUAAAACUCUGUUGUUAAAGAAGAACAUAUCUGAGAGUAACUGUUCAGGUAUUGACGGUAUUUAACCAGAAAGCCACGGCUAACUACGUGCCAGCAGCCGCGGUAAUACGUAGGUGGCAAGCGUUGUCCGGAUUUAUUGGGCGUAAAGCGAGCGCAGGCGGUUUUUUAAGUCUGAUGUGAAAGCCUUCGGCUCAACCGAAGAAGUGCAUCGGAAACUGGGAAACUUGAGUGCAGAAGAGGACAGUGGAACUCCAUGUGUAGCGGUGAAAUGCGUAGAUAUAUGGAAGAACACCAGUGGCGAAGGCGGCUGUCUGGUCUGUAACUGACGCUGAGGCUCGAAAGUAUGGGUAGCAAACAGGAUUAGAUACCCUGGUAGUCCAUACCGUAAACGAUGAAUGCUAAGUGUUGGAGGGUUUCCGCCCUUCAGUGCUGCAGCUAACGCAUUAAGCAUUCCGCCUGGGGAGUACGGCCGCAAGGCUGAAACUCAAAGGAAUUGACGGGGGCCCGCACAAGCGGUGGAGCAUGUGGUUUAAUUCGAAGCUACGCGAAGAACCUUACCAGGUCUUGACAUACUAUGCAAAUCUAAGAGAUUAGACGUUCCCUUCGGGGACAUGGAUACAGGUGGUGCAUGGUUGUCGUCAGCUCGUGUCGUGAGAUGUUGGGUUAAGUCCCGCAACGAGCGCAACCCUUAUUAUCAGUUGCCAGCAUUAAGUUGGGCACUCUGGUGAGACUGCCGGUGACAAACCGGAGGAAGGUGGGGAUGACGUCAAAUCAUCAUGCCCCUUAUGACCUGGGCUACACACGUGCUACAAUGGAUGGUACAACGAGUUGCGAACUCGCGAGAGUAAGCUAAUCUCUUAAAGCCAUUCUCAGUUCGGAUUGUAGGCUGCAACUCGCCUACAUGAAGUCGGAAUCGCUAGUAAUCGCGGAUCAGCAUGCCGCGGUGAAUACGUUCCCGGGCCUUGUACACACCGCCCGUCACACCAUGAGAGUUUGUAACACCCAAAGUCGGUGGGGUAACCUUUUAGGAACCAGCCGCCUAAGGUGGGACAGAUGAUUAGGGUGAAGUCGUAACAAGGUAGCCGUAGGAGAACCUGCGGCUGGAUCACCUC